UUUUUAUGAAAAAAAAUUUUUUUUUUUAAUUAAAAUAUUUCUGAAACUAUAUUUUGGGUAUAUAUGUAAAAUAAUUAACAUUUGACUGACAAUACAUUUUAUCUUCAUUUCAGUGCACAACUUUUAAAAGCACGUAAAUUGUAAAUGGUAAAUUUAAAUACACCUAAUUACACAGCUAACGAGAAACACGAAAUAGCAUGAAAAAUAUUCGGACCAAUGCAGACAUUUGUAUAGUCCUGUAAAGCUAUGAGAUAAGCGUACAUAUUUAAAAAAAAAAAAAAAAAAGUAA